GCACCUUGUGAGCCGCCUGCUGGAAGGCCACGUUCACGUCUGGGGAACACGACAUGACAAUAAUAAUAACAACAACAACACAUACAGGUGCUCUAGUGAGGUGAGAACCACAACGAGCAUUCUGGGAGUUUGAACUGUACCGUGCUCGCUGACGGCCGUGGGCGGAGUCUUCAACAUGUGCUGCGCGAGGUCGAUGAACACCUGGUAGAGCUCGCCGCGGCCCAGCAGGUAGAAGUCCUUAAUUAUCUGGAAGAAGACGUCAACAACAACAACAACAACCUUAUUAUUCCUGUUUAUGAGCCAGAAGUAAACAAAACAGCGUUCAGUACGAACCUUCAGCUGCUCGAGAAGAUCCGACUCCACGACCAUCAACGUCCAGAGAUGCUGCAAGUCAGUGAGGAGGAGUUUAAUGUGGUCGUUGUUGUUGUUCAGUGGAAAGAGUAAACAAAUGAGUCACGAAGUUUGAAUAAUAAAGACAGGUAGAUUCUUUUAA